AGAGUUUGAUCCUGGCUCAGAUUGAACGCUGGCGGCAUGCCUUUACACAUGCAAGUCGAACGGCAGCACGGGAGCAAUCCUGGUGGCGAGUGGCGAACGGGUGAGUAAUAUAUCGGAACGUGCCCAGUCGUGGGGGAUAACGCAGCGAAAGCUGUGCUAAUACCGCAUACGAUCUAUGGAUGAAAGCGGGGGAUCGCAAGACCUCGCGCGAUUGGAGCGGCCGAUAUCAGAUUAGCUAGUUGGUGGGGUAAAAGCCCACCAAGGCGACGAUCUGUAGCUGGUCUGAGAGGACGACCAGCCACACUGGAACUGAGACACGGUCCAGACUCCUACGGGAGGCAGCAGUGGGGAAUUUUGGACAAUGGGCGCAAGCCUGAUCCAGCAAUGCCGCGUGCAGGAUGAAGGCCUUCGGGUUGUAAACUGCUUUUGUACGGAACGAAACGGCUCCUUUUAAUACAAGGGGCUAAUGACGGUACCGUAAGAAUAAGCACCGGCUAACUACGUGCCAGCAGCCGCGGUAAUACGUAGGGUGCGAGCGUUAAUCGGAAUUACUGGGCGUAAAGCGUGCGCAGGCGGUUUUGUAAGACAAAUGUGAAAACCCCGGGCUCAACCUGGGAACUGCAUAUGUGACUGCAAGGCUAGAGUACGGUAGAGGGGGAUGGAAUUCCGCGUGUAGCAGUGAAAUGCGUAGAUAUGCGGAGGAACACCGAUGGCGAAGGCAAUCCCCUGGACCUGUACUGACGCUCAUGCACGAAAGCGUGGGGAGCAAACAGGAUUAGAUACCCUGGUAGUCCACGCCCUAAACGAUGUCAACUGGUUGUUGGGUCUUCACUGACUCAGUAACGAAGCUAACGCGUGAAGUUGACCGCCUGAGGAGUACGGCCGCAAGGUUG
rnacentral:rRNA from 1 species